AGGGAAUCUUCCACAAUGGACGCAAGUCUGAUGGAGCAACGCCGCGUGAGUGAAGAAGGUUUUCGGAUCGUAAAGCUCUGUUGUUGGUGAAGAAGGAUAGAGGCAGUAACUGGUCUUUAUUUGACGGUAAUCAACCAGAAAGUCACGGCUAACUACGUGCCAGCAGCCGCGGUAAUACGUAGGUGGCAAGCGUUGUCCGGAUUUAUUGGGCGUAAAGCGAGCGCAGGCGGAAUGAUAAGUCUGAUGUGAAAGCCCACGGCUCAACCGUGGAACUGCAUCGGAAACUGUCAUUCUUGAGUGCAGAAGAGGAGAGUGGAACUCCAUGUGUAGCGGUGGAAUGCGUAGAUAUAUGGAAGAACACCAGUGGCGAAGGCGGCUCUCUGGUCUGCAACUGACGCUGAGGCUCGAAAGCAUGGGUAGCGAACAGGAUUAG
rnacentral:rRNA from 1 species